rnacentral:rRNA from 1 species
UGAUCCUGGCUCAAGACGAACGCUGGCGGCGUGCCUAAUACAUGCAAGUCGAGCGAGCUUGCCUAGAUGAUUUUAGUGCUUGCACUAAAUGAAACUAGAUACAAGCGAGCGGCGGACGGGUGAGUAACACGUGGGUAACCUGCCCAAGAGACUGGGAUAACACCUGGAAACAGAUGCUAAUACCGGAUAACAACACUAGACGCAUGUCACGAGUUUGAAAGAUGGUUCUGCUAUCACUCUUGGAUGGACCUGCGGUGCAUUAGCUAGUUGGUAAGGUAACGGCUUACCAAGGCAAUGAUGCAUAGCCGAGUAGAGAGACUGACCGGCCACAUUGGGACUGAGACACGGCCCAAACUCCUACGGGAGGCAGCAGUAGGGAAUCUUCCACAAUGGACGAAAGUCUGAUGGAGCAACGCCGCGUGAGUGAAGAAGGGUUUCGGCUCGUANAGCUCUGUUGGUAGUGAAGAAAGAUAGAGGUAGUAACUGGCCUUUAUUUGACGGUAAUUACUUAGAAAGUCACGGCUAACUACGUGCCAGCAGCCGCGGUAAUACGUAGGUGGCAAGCGUUGUCCGGAUUUAUUGGGCGUAAAGCGAGUGCAGGCGGUUNCAUAAGUCUGAUGUGAAAGCCUUCGGCUCNACCGGAGAUUGCAUCAGAAACUGUUGAACUUGAGUGCAGAAGAAGAGAGUGGAACUCCAUGUGUAGCGGUGGAAUGCGUANAUAUAUGGAAGAACAACAGUGGCGAAGGCNGC